AUUGAACGCUGGCGGCAGGCCUAACACAUGCAAGUCGAGCGGGGUUUUCGGACCUAGCGGCGGACGGGUGAGUAAUGCGUAGGAAGCUACCCGAUAGAGGGGGAUACCAGUUGGAAACGACUGUUAAUACCGCAUAAUGUCUACGGACCAAAGGGUGGGACCUUCGGGCCACAUGCUAUCGGAUGCGCCUACGUGGGAUUAGCUAGUUGGUGGGGUAAUGGCUCACCAAGGCGACGAUCCCUAGCUGGUUGGGGAGGAUGAUCAGACACACUGGAACUGAGACACGCUCCAGACUCCUACGUGAGGCAGCAGUGGGGAAUAUUGGACAAUUGGCGCAAGACUGAUCCAGCAAUGCCGCGUGUGUGAAGAAGGCCUUCGGGUUGUAAAGCACUUUCAGUAGGGAGGAAGGGUGUUGUGUUAAUAGCACAGCAUUUUGACGUUACCUACAGAAGAAGCACCGGCUAACUCUGUGCCAGCCGCCGCUGUAACAC
rnacentral:rRNA from 1 species